GCAGGGAUAGCCAAGCGGUCAACGGCGGUGGACACAAUCAAGAGUACAUAAUAAUGUAGCUCUUGAGCCACACUCAAGAUCCAUUGACAUAGGUCUACAGGGGUUCAAAUCCCCUUCCCUGCA
rnacentral:tRNA from 1 species